rnacentral:rRNA from 1 species
CACGUAGGGUGCGAGCGUUGUCCGGAAUUAUUGGGCGUAAAGAGCUCGUAGGCGGUGUGUCGCGUCGGCUGUGAAAACCUGCAGCUUAACUGUGGGCUUGCGGUCGAUACGGGCAUCACUGGAGUUCGGCAGGGGAGACUGGAAUUCCUGGUGUAGCGGUGAAAUGCGCAGAUAUCAGGAGGAACACCGGUGGCGAGGGCAGCUCGCUGGGACGGUACUGACGCUGAGACGCGAAAGCGUGGGGAGCAAACAGG